rnacentral:snoRNA from 1 species
AGUUCCAGAGUCUAUAAAGGUGAACCCACUGGGGACGAUCCGGAGAGAAGAGAAAAGUUUGUGUCAAAAGGAACUGUCUGA